rnacentral:lncRNA from 1 species
CUUAAUUGGAGGACCAUUUCCAUGUUCAUCUAAGUGGAAGAUACAAGAUACAUUGAGGAUCUCUUGUGAGACUUGUUUGGUUGCUUAUACUUUGUGGUUGCUUUAUUCCAAAGGAUGGGAGCUACUUGGAUCAUCAAUAUGAUUUCAAGAGAGGAACUCCUAGUGUGGUUUCCUUUCUUAUUCCCCCACCUUUUUGCUUUACUUAGGACUUAGC